rnacentral:snRNA from 1 species
UGAUGUGAGAGUCAUCUGGCGCAACAUCUGUCUCCCUGAUCUCCAGGGUUGAUUCAGCUGAUCUGACUGACGGGAGGUGUAUGUAUCUCCUUCCUCCUUCACCAAUGGAUCCUUGAGUGACCCUCCUGAACAUUUGUGCUUAAUCUUCUAUCCUAGACUGUGCUCUAGUCAAGGAUACAUGAGUAGCUGCACUCCCCUGCUAGAACCUGCACAAAAACACUCAGGAAAAAACAAGUGUGAAAAACAUUGAUGACUCGGGUACCUUGUAUGCUGAAGUGGGCAAAAU